GCAUAUCAAUAAGCGGAGGAAAAGAAACCAACAGGGAUUGCCUCAGUAACGGCGAGUGAAGCGGCAACAGCUCAAAUUUGAAAGCUGGCUUUCGGGCCCGCAUUGUAAUUUGCAGAGGAUGCUUCUGGCGACGCGCCUUCCGAGUUCCCUGGAACGGGACGCCAAAGAGGGUGAGAGCCCCGUCCGGUCGUGCGCCUAGCCUCUGUGAAGCUCCUUCGACGAGUCGAGUAGUUUGGGAAUGCUGCUCAAAAUGGGAGGUAUACGUCUUCUAAAGCUAAAUACCGGCCAGAGACCGAUAGCGCACAAGUAGAGUGAUCGAAAGAUGAAAAGCACUUUGAAAAGAGAGUUAAAAAGUACGUGAAAUUGUUGAAAGGGAAGCGCUCAUGACCAGACUUGGGCUGGCCCGAUCAUCCGGCCUUCUGGCCGGUGCACUCGGGCCGCUCAGGCCAGCAUCAGCUUCCGCCGGGGGACAAAGGCGGUGGGAACGUGGCUCCUUCGGGAGUGUUAUAGCCCGCCGUGUAAUACCCUGGUGGGGGCUGAGGUUCGCGCGUAUGCACGGAUGCUGGCGUAAUGGUCAUCAGCGACCCGUCUUGAAACACGGACCAAGGAGUCGUCUUCGUAUGCGAGUGUUCGGGUGUCAAACCCCUACGCGGAAUGAAAGUGAACGCUGGUGAGAGCUUCGGCGCAUCACCGACCGAUCCUGAUGUUCUCGGAUGGAUUUGAGUAAGAGCAUACGGGGCCGGACCCGAAAGAAGGUGAACUAUGCCUGUAUAGGGUGAAGCCAGAGGAAACUCUGGUGGAGGCUCGCAGCGGUUCUGACGUGCAAAUCGAUCGUCAAAUAUGGGCAUGGGGGCGAAAGACUAAUCGA
rnacentral:rRNA from 1 species